AUUGAACGCUGGCGGCAUGCCUUACACAUGCAAGUCGAGCGCGAAAAGGGGGGCAACCCCGAGUAGAGCGGCGGACGGGUGAGUAACGCAUCGGAACGUGCCCAGUAGUGGGGGACAACCUCGAGAAAUCGAGGCUAAUACCGCAUACGACCCACGGGUGAAAGCGGGGGACCGCAAGGCCUCGCGCUAUUGGAGCGGCCGAUGUCCGAUUAGCUAGUUGGCGGGGUAAGAGCCCACCAAGGCGACGAUCGGUAGCUGGUCUGAGAGGACGACCAGCCACACUGGGACUGAGACACGGCCCAGACUCCUACGGGAGGCAGCAGUAAGGAUAUUGCGCAAUGGGCGAAAGCCUGACGCAGCGACGCCGC
rnacentral:rRNA from 1 species